UGAUUCUAAAGGGCUAAAAUGAAGUUUUAAAGCAGAUUUCCUUCUGCUGGUUUGUCUUGGUGCAGUAUUUGUACGGAUUGAGAUGAUGUUUUAAAGAAUUGAAAAUUUCUCUAUGUAAGUUGAUGGUUUUGGAGUUGGCUGAAGGAUGAGUAGAGUGUAGCCCUUUCUUUGGCUUGGUUCUUGAUGUUUUAUGGUUACUACUAAUCAUAUGAUUUAGUCCAUAAGCUUGUCCUUACAAUUUCUUCUUUCAGACUAGAGUUUGGUUGUGGAAAACUGAGGGCUUUCUUAAGGGAUAAGGUUCUUAAACAACCACAAGAGGCGUUGACCAAGGAGGAGUUUGAAGACAUUUAUUCUUCUAUUUUUGAUUUUUUUUCGUAUGUAUAAGUGUAGAAUGACAAUGAACAAUGAAGUAUUCUGUAUAUAUUUAACUAACUUAUUAUUCAUGAAAGUAUUUAUAAUAUUCUGACUUGA